rnacentral:rRNA from 1 species
CCUACGGGUGGCAGCAGUGAGGAAUAUUGGUCAAUGGACGAGAGUCUGAACCAGCCAAGUAGCGUGAAGGAUGACUGCCCUAUGGGUUGUAAACUUCUUUUAUAAAGGAAUAAAACGAGGCACGUGUGCCUUUUUGCAUGUACUUUAUGACUAAGGAUCGGCGAACUCCGUGCCAGCCGCCGCGGUAAUACGGAGGAUCCGAGCGUUAUCCGGAUUUAUUGGGUUUAAAGGGAGCGUAGAUGGGUUGUUAAGUCAUUUGUGAAAGUUUGCGGCACAACCGUAAAAUUGCAAUUGAUACUGGCAGUCUUGAGUACAGUUGAGGUAGGCGGAAUUCGUGGUGUAGCAGUGAAAUGCUUAGAUAUCACGAAGAACCCCGAUUGCGAAGGCAGCUUACUAAACUGUGACUGACAUUGAUGCUCGAAAGUGUGGGUAUCAAACAGGAUUAGAUACCCGAGUAGUC